rnacentral:rRNA from 1 species
ACAAGCGGUGGAGCAUGUGGUUAAUUCGAAGCAACGCGAAGAACCUUACCAGGCCUUGACAUGCAGAGAACUUUCCAGAGAUGGAUUGGUGCCUUCGGGAACUCUGACACAGGUGCUGCAUGGCUGUCGCCAGCUCGUGUCGUGAGAUGUUGGGUUAAGUCCCGUAACGAGCGCAACCCUUGUCCUUAGUUACCAGCACGUUAUGGUGGGCACUCUAAGGAGACUGCCGGUGACAAACCGGAGGAAGGUGGGGAUGACGUCAAGUCAUCAUGGCCCUUACGGCCUGGGCUACACACGUGCUACAAUGGUCGGUACAAAGGGUUGCCAAGCCGCGAGGUGGAGCUAAUCCCAUAAAACCGAUCGUAGUCCGGAUCGCAGUCUGCAACUCGACUGCGUGAAGUCGGAAUCGCUAGUAAUCGUGAAUCAGAAUGUCACGGUGAAUACGUUCCCGGGCCUU